rnacentral:rRNA from 1 species
AUGGACGCAAGUCUGAUGGAGCAACGCCGCGUGAGUGAAGAAGGGUUUCGGCUCGUAAAGCUCUGUUGGUAGUGAAGAAAGAUAGAGGUAGUAACUGGCCUUUAUUUGACGGUAAUUACUUAGAAAGUCACGGCUAACUACGUGCCAGCAGCCGCGGUAAUACGUAGGUGGCAAGCGUUGUCCGGAUUUAUUGGGCGUAAAGCGAGUGCAGGCGGUUCAAUAAGUCUGAUGUGAAAGCCUUCGGCUCAACCGGAGAAUUGCAUCAGAAACUGUUGAACUUGAGUGCAGAAGAGGAGAGUGGAACUCCAUGUGUAGCGGUGGAAUGCGUAGAUAUAUGGAAGAACACCAGUGGCGAAGGCGGCUCUCUGGUCUGCAACUGACGCUGAGACUCGAAAGCAUGGGUAGCGAACAGGAUUAGAUACCCUGGUAGUCCAUGCCGUAAACGAUGAGUGCUAAGUGUUGGGAGGUUUCCGCCUCUCAGUGCUGCAGCUAACGCAUUAAGCACUCCGCCUGGGGAGUACGACCGCAAGGUUGAAACUCAAAGGAAUUGACGGGGGCCCGCACAAGCGGUGGAGCAUGUGGUUUAAUUCGAAGCAACGCGAAGAACCUUACCAGGUCUUGACAUC